rnacentral:snRNA from 1 species
GGAACAGUUCCAACUCUUCCAAUUGGAACAAUGUAGAGGGCGUUAACAUGGCCCCUUUAAAGGAUAACAUGCAAAUUCAUGAAACAUUCCAUAAACAU